rnacentral:rRNA from 1 species
GUCCACGCCGUAACGAUGUCAACUAGCCGUUGGUUCCUUGAGGACUUAGUGGCGCAGCUAACGCAUUAAGUUGACCGCCUGGGGAGUACGGCCGCAAGGUUAAACUCAAAUGAAUUGACGGGGCCCGCACAAGCGGUGGAGCAUGUGGUUUAAUUCGAAGCAACGCGAAGAACCUUACCAGGCCUUGACAUCUACAGAACUUUCCAGAGAUGGAUGGGUGCCUUCGGGAACUGUAAGACAGGUGCUGCAUGGCUGUCGU